AGCCUUAAUUACGGCGAGUGAGCGGCAAAAGCUCAAUUUGAAAUCUGGUACCUUUGGUGCCCGAGUUGUAAUUUGGAGAGUACCACUUUGGGACUGUACUUUGCCUAUGUUCCUUGGAACAGGACGUCAUGGAGGGUGAGAAUCCCGUGUGGCGAGGGUGUCAGUUCUUUGUAAAGGGUGCUCGAAGAGUCGAGUUGUUUGGGAAUGCAGCUCUAAGUGGGUGGUAAAUUCCAUCUAAAGCUAAAUACAGGCGAGAGACCGAUAGCGAACAAGUACAGUGAUGGAAAGAUGAAAAGAACUUUGAAAAGAGAGUGAAAAAGUACGUGAAAUUGUUGAAAGGGAAGGGCAUUUGAUCAGACAUGGUGUUUUGCGCCCCUUGCCUCUCGUGGGCUUGGGACUCUCGCAGCUCACUGGGCCAGCAUCGGUUUUGGCGGCCGGAAAAAACCUAGGGAAUGUGGCUCUGCGCCUCGGUGUAGAGUGUUAUAGCCCUGGG
rnacentral:rRNA from 1 species